UGUAAGUUCAUACAAAUAAAGAUCUCUGAAAGGUAAUUAGCACAUGCUAAGAUCUCAAUAACUGUUGGUUGUUUUAUUUCUGCUGGUCUUAGUCUGCUUCCUGCUGCUAUGACAAGAACCUGGGUGCCGAGAGGGCCGGGGGUUCGAUGCUAUUGCGGGGCCACACACAGCCUGCUCCCACCAGAGAGGAGUGGCCGGCCGGUUUCAGCGCUCAUUCCCACUGGUUCCCGCAAUUAAUGAUUUUGUAAAACAGAUACAGGAUCAGUAAGUCUAAUUAACUUAAAUUUACUUAAUCAAUAGGCAUUCUGUGGGGAUUUCUGUGGGGAUUUGAUAAGAUCAUUUCAAAAGUAAAUUAAAUAGUUUUAUUUAAAUUAACUCUCAUAUAAAUAAAAACUACAAAAUUUAGACAAAAUAC
rnacentral:lncRNA from 10 species